rnacentral:rRNA from 1 species
GACGAACGCUGGCGGCGUGCCUAAUACAUGCAAGUAGAACGCUGAAGAGAGGAGCUUACUCUUCUUGGAUGAGUUGCGAACGGGUGAGUAACGCGUAGGUAACCUGCCUUGUAGCGGGGGAUAACUAUUGGAAACGAUAGCUAAUACCGCAUAACAAUGGAUGACACAUGUCAUUUAUUUGAAAGGGGCAAUUGCUCCACUACAAGAUGGACCUGCGUUGUAUUAGCUAGUAGGUGAGGUAAUGGCUCACCUAGGCGACGUUACAUAGCCGACCUGAGAGGGUGAUCGGCCACACUGGGACUGAGACACGGCCCAGACUCCUACGGGAGGCAGCAGUAGGGAAUCUUCGGCAAUGGGGGCAACCCUGACCGAGCAACGCCGCGUGAGUGAAGAAGGUUUUCGGAUCGUAAAGCUCUGUUGUAAGUCAAGAACGGGUGUGAGAGUGGAAAGUUCACACUGUGACGGUAGCUUACCAGAAAGGGACGGCUAACUACGUG